CUAGCAGCUCAUGUUCCUGCACGGCAUCCACCCCGCGUGUCUCGCUGCAGAGCAUAGAGGGCAGGACACAUUGGAGCCGCACUGCUGCGAGGUGGCUGUGGUGGAGAGGAUUGUGCACCAUGACACCUUGAGCCAGAGCUAGAGACCCACCUCCUUCGAACUGCCCUGCAUGCCGUCUUCACCCUAGGCACCCAGAAGGACACCACUCAGCCAGGAUCUGCAUAGGGUCUUGCCAGACCUCCUGGAUGCCAUGCUGGGGAACCAGCUGGCAGAGUCCCAAGACACCGACAGGCUCCACUUCAUCUUGGAGAACUCAGCAGAAUUCCCCAGGAUGGGUCACCAUGUGGCACAGCUGGCUCUGUUGAUCGGUGACCCAGCCAAGCACAUCAGCCGGCAGGCCAGGGAGGGGGUUUAUCGGCUCUACCAGCUGCUGCUGCACCAGA